rnacentral:misc_RNA from 1 species
GUGAAUCAUCAAAUUUUUGAACGCAAAUUGCACUCUCUUCGGAGAGUAUGCCUGUUUGAGGGUCAGCCUAAAAAAAAUCGACGUAGUCGCUGUUUCGCGGUGACAUUCGUCGGAAAUUGGGUAACUUAAACCUUUGGGUUUUUUAAGGGGCCUAAAAUUUUCUUUUCGGUUCCAAGAACGUUUUCAAGAUUUUAACUCUUAACACC